rfam:Ixodes scapularis strain Wikel colony gcontig_1108379069590, whole genome shotgun sequence.
GCAGUCGUGGCCGAGAGGUUAAGGUGAUGGACUAGAAAUCCGUUAAGGACUCCCCGCACAGGUUCGAAUCCUGUCGGCUGCG